UACGUAGGGACCAAGCGUUGUUCGGAUUUACUGGGCGUAAAGAGCUCGUAGGCGGUCUGUCGCGUCUGCUGUGAAAACUCGGGGCUUAACCCCGGGCCUGCAGUGGGUACGGGCAGACUAGAGUGCGGUAGGGGAGACUGGAAUUCCCGGUGUAGCGGUGAAAUGCGCAGAUAUCGGGAGGAACACCUAUGGCGAAGGCAGCUCGCUGGGACGUUACUGACGCUGAGACGCGAAAGCGUGGGGAGCAAACAGG
rnacentral:rRNA from 1 species